rnacentral:rRNA from 1 species
AGAGUUUGGAUCAUGGCUCAGAUUUGAAACGCCGGGCGGCAUGCCUAACGCAUGCAAGUCGAACGGUAACGCGAGGAGCUUGCUCCUUGGCGACGAGUGGCGGACGGGUGAGUAAUACUUAGGAAUCUGCCCAGUAGUGGGGGACAACUCGAGGAAACUCGAGCUAAUACCGCAUACGCCCUAUGGGGGAAAGCGGGGGCUCUUCGGACCUCGCGCUAUUGGAUGAGCCUAAGUCGGAUUAGCUUGUUGGUGAGGUAACUGCUCACCAAGGCGACGAUCCGUAGCUGGUCUGAGAGGACGAUCAGCCACACUGGGACUGAGACACGGCCCAGACUCCUACGGGAGGCAGCAGUGGGGAAUAUUGGACAAUGGGGGCAACCCUGAUCCAGCAAUGCCGCGUGUGUGAAGAAGGCCUGCGGGUUGUAAAGCACUUUCAGUAGAGAAGAAAAGCUAAAGGUUAAUACCCUUGAGUCUUGACGUAACCUACAGAAGAAGCACCGGCUAACUCCGUGCCAGCAGCCGCGGUAAUACGGAGGGUGCGAGCGUUAAUCGGAAUUACUGGGCGUAAAGCGCGCGUAGGCGGUUUUGUGAGUCGGAUGUGAAAUCCCUGGGCUUAACCUGGGAACUGCAUUCGAUACUGCAUAACUAGAGUAUGGUAGAGGGAAGUGGAAUUUCCGGUGUAGCGGUGAAAUGCGUAGAUAUCGGAAGGAACACCAGUGGCGAAGGCGACUUCCUGGGCCAAUACUGACGCUGAGG